UUACGGCUCAGUAACACGUCGGUAACCUGCCCUACGAUCAAGGACAAUCUCGGGAAACUGAGUGUAAUACUUGAUGGAGAACGAUACUGGAAUGUUCGUCUCUCGAAAGCUACGGCGUCGUAGGAUGGGCCGGCGGUGGAUUAGGCUGUUGGCGGUGUAAUGGACCACCAAACCGAAGAUCCAUAAGGGCCAUGAGAGUGGUUGCCCUGAGAAGGACACUGAGAUACGGGUCCUAGCCCUACGGGGUGCAGCAGUCGGGCGAACUUUACAAUGCGCGAAAGCGUGAUAAGGGAAUCCUUCGUGCUCUAGUCUUACUAGGGCUUUUGCCAACGGUAAAAUCAUUGGCGAAUAAGUGGUGGGCAAGACUGGUGCCAGCCGCCGCGGUAACCCCAGCGCCACAAGUGGUACCCAGCUUUAUUUGGUCUAAAGCGUCCGUAGAUGGCAAGUUAAAUUCUCUGUGAAAUCGUGGCGCUCAACGUCACGGCGUGCAGAGAACACUGAUUUGCUUGGGACCAGAAGAGGUCAGCAGUAUUCCGUGGGGAGCGGUAAAAUGCUAUAAUCCACGGAGGACUACCGAUGGCGAAGGCAGCUGACCAGUAUGGAUCCGACAUUGAGGGACGAAAGCUAGGGGAGCGAUCCGGAUUAGAUACCCGAGUAGUCCUAGCCGUAAACGCUGCGAGUCAGAUGUUGCACAAUCUUCGAGAUUGUGCAGUGUCGUAACGAAGGUGUUAAACUCGCCACCUGGGGAGUACGGUCGCAAGGCUGAAACUUAAAGGAAUUGGCGGGGGAG
rnacentral:rRNA from 1 species